UACCUAGAAGACCACUUCAAAAAUGAUUCUUCCAGAAUGCUAAUGUAAAUCUAAUCAGCCUUUAGAAUUUAAAGGCUUAAAAAAGACUAAAGAAAAGUAACAACCAAAUGCAAUAUGUAGAACUUAUAUGGAGCCUGAUUCGAACAUCAAGUAUAAAGAGAUAUUUUUGAGAAAAUUGAGAAAUUUUAAAACAUGAAAUUAGUAUUAUAUGAUAUUGAAGACUGCUGCUUUUUCAAGACAUGUCCUCAAAUUUAUUUUACAUUCCUUCCAUACUAACUCUUCUCCUUGCAUGUAGACAGACUUGUGGCUGCUUUCAAUGACUUCUGAAAUUAGGUCAUUAAAAGUCAUACAUUCUUUGGCUAGUAAUCUUGGGUUACUCACUCAUGAGAGGCCAAGCUUUAUCUAGGAAGUUCAACUACUCGAGACUGUCAUGCUGGCUCCGGCACAAAUGAACCAUGUUCUUCGCCUAAGUCAUUUAUGGAACAUCUGCUUUCGGUUUAGCAUCAGCUUUGUGACCUAGUAAUAUCUUUCUCGAGUGCAUGAAACAUCUCAGAAAUGCAAACAUCAAGGAAGAUACUAAUCCUUUCUUCCAGUUUCUGUGUGAGGGUUGGAGGCUGACUUUGGUGGUGAUCUUGCUCCAAAUUAUAGAACUACAUCCUGUCAUGAAGAGAAGUUUGUCUUCUCGAUAAAGCCAAGUAGCUAACAGAGAUGGUCACCCCAAUUACCAGAUGGACAUAAUUAUACUUGAAUGCUGACCUACAACAUUUUGUGCUGUGCAGAGGCUUUGAAAAUCAAACAACUUUGAAAAUACAAAGCACCGCGUGGAUGUAAGUUUAUUAAAUUUUGUUUUCAUCAACAUUCA
ensembl:lncRNA LINC00971 long intergenic non-protein coding RNA 971